rnacentral:misc_RNA from 1 species
AAAAAAAAAAGAAAAAAAAAUCUGAUCAUUUAGAUGCUGACAAGGCAUGAACUGGAAGGAUAACAGAUUUAAAUGAAUAUCAGUAUCAAACGAAAAAUUCAUUUAGAGAAAAGAGUGGAGUUCAAAUAACUCCUAAUGCAAAAUAAAAGUAGAAGUUCAAAGUGAAAAACAUUUAGAAAACAAAAGAAUUGAGAAAAACUAAGCCAG